rnacentral:rRNA from 1 species
AGAACGAACGCUGGCGGCGUGGAUAAGACAUGCAAGUCGAACGGGACAUUUCCGGUAGCAAUAUUGGAAAUGUUCAGUGGCGUAAGGGUGCGUAACACGUGGGCAACCUGCCGGGAAGUGGGGGAUAGCUCGCCGAAAGGCGAAUUAAUACCGCAUAUGGCCAGGGAAGACAUCUUCCCAACGCCAAAGCUGGGGCAACCUAGCGCUUCCUGAUGGGCCCGCGGCCUAUCAGCUUGUUGGUGAGGUAACGGCUCACCAAGGCUAUGACGGGUAGCUGGUCUGAGAGGACGACCAGCCUCACUGGAACUGAGACACGGUCCAGACACCUACGGGUGGCAGCAGUCGAGAAUUUUUCUCAAUGGGGGAAACCCUGAAGGAGCGACGCCGCGUGAAGGAUGAAGGUCUUCGGAUCGUAAACUUCUGUCAUUAGAGAACAAUGCGCACGGGAGUAACUGCCUGUGCGUUGAUAGUACCUGAAGAGGAAGAGACGGCUAACU